UUGAUCCUGCCGGACCCGACUGCUAUCAGAGUGGGACUAAGCCAUGCGAGUUGACGUAGUAAUACGUAGCGAACGGCUCAGUAACACGUAGUCAACAUGCCCAGGGGACGUGGAUAACCUCGGGAAACUGAGAAUAAACCGCGAUAGGUCACAAUUUCUGGAAUGGAUUUUGGCUUAAAUCUACAUGGGCCCUGGAUUGGACUGCGGCCGAUCAGGCUGUUGGUGAGGUAAUGGCCCACCAAACCUGUAACCGGUACGGGCUCUGAGAGGAGGAGCCCGGAGAUGGGCACUGAGACAAGGGCCCAGGCCCUAUGGGGCGCAGCAGGCGCGAAACCUCUGCAAUGGGCGAAAGCCUGACAGGGUUACUCUGAGUGAUUUCCGCUAAGGGGAUCUUUUGACACCUCUAAAAAUGGUGUAGAAUAAGGGGUGGGCAAGUCUGGUGUCAGCCGCCGCGGUAAUACCGGCACCCCGAGUGGUCGGGACGAUUAUUGGGCCUAAAGCAUCCGUAGCCGGUUCUGCAAGUCUUCCGUUAAAUCCAGCCGCUCAACGGAUGGGCUGCGGAAGAUACUAUAGGACUAGGAGGCGGGAGAGGCAAGCGGUACUCAGUGGGUAGGGGUAAAAUCCUUUGAUCCAUUGAAGACCACCAGUGGCGAAGGCGGCUUGCCAGAACGCGCUCGACGGUGAGGGAUGAAAGCUGGGGGAGCAAACCGGAUUAGAUACCCGGGUAGUCCCAGCUGUAAACGAUGCAGACUCGGUGAUGGGCCAGCCUUGUGCUAGCCCAGUGCCGCAGGGAAGCCGUUAAGUCUGCCGCCUGGGGAGUACGGUCGCAAGACUGAAACUUAAAGGAAUUGGCGGGGGAGCACCACAAGGGGUGAAGCCU
rnacentral:rRNA from 1 species